rnacentral:ncRNA from 1 species
ACCAGAAGAGGUGCGAAACUUAGGUAGAAAACGCGAGGAACCAUAUUUCUAAUGACCGUUUUUGAGGGAAGUUAUCGCCGAGAGUAUUUAAGAGUGGACUUAAAUAUUCGGUCACUAAGGUUGAAUCCUUAUGGCUGUCACCUGACGUAUUUGCUUAAUAAUGCCUAAUUAAUUAGGUGUUAUUAAGCAAAAAAUAAUAGGUGGAGAGCUUCUGGC